UAAAAUUAUAAAAUUGCAUUUGGGUUGAAAGAUGGGAAGCCCUCAAAACGCACAUAGUACUAACUUUAUAACGCAGCCACACGCGGUGCAAGCUUGACAAAAAUGUUGGCUUUUUUAAAAACAACCACUUUUGUUAUAAUCUCUCCCAUUCCAAACAGUCCUCUUAUUCAUUAAAAAAGCAUAUGAAAUAGGUUCGCAUUCAACGAAAAACUUAGAGACGCUGCAAGUAUUGGCGGAUUUUUAUCGUAAAUUAAUUUUAAAAAAAAUGAAAUUAAUAGCUAUAGAUAACACUGAACUAAGUGAAUACUCCAUUAGUUUGCUAAAUAGAUGUUACAUACAUACUGUAAAUAAUUUCCUGAAUGAAAAAACCGAGAAGUUAAAAAAUAUUCUAAAUCUUAAAGAAGAGCAAGUAGACGACCUCAAAAAACUUCUGCGUCAACGGUUUGGCCCCACGAAAAUAAAACUAGCUCAGUUAUAUUCGCGUUGGGAAUCAAAUGGAUGUUUGUAUAAAACUGGUAUAAGCAAUUUGGAUAGUAUGUUGGGUGGCGAGUCCUUACAAAGCGGUAGCGUUUGGGAAAUGUGUGGACCAUCGGGUGUUGGGAAAACGCAAUGGGCCCUUUCGGUAGCUAUAAAUUUCGUCAUAAGUAAAGGCUUGCAAGUUUUGUAUAUCGAUACAAAAUUGGAUCUUUCCGCAAUUCGCAUAAAGCAAAUGCUACAAUCGCGUUAUAUGAUCAAUGCGGAGAUGCACGCUGGUAUCAUGCAACUUAUCAAGGUGGAACGUUGUCUUUCCGCGCAGGGAGUGAUAAAUAUGCUUGAGAAUUUUGAAAGAGAAAUAGAAUACAAAAAUCCAAGGGUAAUGAAGACUAAUUUAAUUAUUAUUGAUUCACUGCCAGCUGUGUGGUUACUUUUAAAAGCUAAUGAAGAUUGCCUAUCGGGCAAAUGGUUGCUAUCGCGUCUUAAUAAUUUAAUAUACAAAUUGGCUCAGAAAUAUUAUGUGGCUAUCAUCAUAAUUAAUCUUUCGGUGCCCAUAAUAGCUGAUGGACAAUUAAAUAAAAACUUUAAUCGUACCCAACAUGGAGAAGAGAAUGAUGACCUCUACGGUGAAAAUGCUUAUUCCCAGGAAAUAAUUUUAGCACAAUACGGUAAAUUAAGACCAAUGUUAGGUCGCUAUUGGCAAUCAAUACCUCGUCUACGUUUAUCAUUGGAUUACGGAUCAAAAAUGCCAGACGAAGAUGUCACCCUUCGUUAUAUAAGAAUUUUAAAUAGUUGCUAUACUACUAUUAAUUUAAAAUGUCCAGUCCACUUAACUGCUAAAGGCAUAAUUUAACCUCUUUCUGCUUCUAAAAAUUUGUUUGUGAACACUUCUCCCUGCGUCCGACAUGAUGACGAUUUUAAUAAAUCGCUGGCACUCGGUAAAAGUUUUGUUUUUGCAGUUGUUCUAUAGUCUGACAAGCAUGCCUUACACUGCAAAUUUGGUAACGCCCCACACAAAUAUUUGCAGUAAACAAUCGGCUUAAUGGCUUUCAG